rnacentral:tRNA from 1 species
GUGCCCCGAGCGACGAAGGGAGCCGACUGUAAAUCGGUCAUAGUUCACGACCCACCGCAGGUUCGAGUCCUGUAGCAGCACGACA